rnacentral:tRNA from 2 species
GGGGCCAUGGUCUAACGGGAUGACGGCUGAAUCGCAUUCAGCAAAUCGGGGUUCGAUUCCCCGUGGCUCCA